AUUGAACGCUGGCGGCAUGCUUUACACAUGCAAGUCGAACGGUAACGCGGGGCAACCUGGCGACGAGUGGCGAACGGGUGAGUAAUGCAUCGGAACGUGCCCGGUAGUGGGGGAUAACUGCUCGAAAGAGCAGCUAAUACCGCAUACGACAUGAGGGUGAAAGGGGGGGAUCGCAAGACCACUCGCUAUUGGAGCGGCCGAUGUCGGAUUAGCUAGUUGUCGGGGUAAAAGCCUACCAAGGCGACAAUCCGUAGCUGGUCUGAGAGGACGACCAGCCACACUGGGACUGAGACACGGCCCAGACUCCUACGGGAGGCAGCAGUGGGGAAUUUUGGACAAUGGGCGCAAGCCUGAUCCAGCCAUGCCGCGUGUGUGAAGAAGGCCUUCGGGUUGUAAAGCACUUUCGGACGGAACGAAAUCGCGCGGACGAACAUUCCGCGUGGAUGACGGUACCGUAAGAAGAAGCACCGGCUAACUACGUGCCAGCCGCCGCCGUAAGAC
rnacentral:rRNA from 1 species